rnacentral:rRNA from 1 species
UGGGGAAUUUUGGACAAUGGGGGAAACCCUGAUCCAGCCAUCCCGCGUGUGCGAUGAAGGCCUUCGGGUUGUAAAGCACUUUUGGCAGGAAAGAAACGUCAUGGGUUAAUACCCCGUGAAACUGACGGUACCUGCAGAAUAAGCACCGGCUAACUACGUGCCAGCAGCCGCGGUAAUACGUAGGGUGCAAGCGUUAAUCGGAAUUACUGGGCGUAAAGGGUGCGCAGGCGGUUCGGAAAGAAAGAUGUGAAAUCCCAGAGCUCAACUUUGGAACUGCAUUUUUAACUACCGGGCUAGAGUGUGUCAGAGGGAGGUGGAAUUCCGCGUGUAGCAGUGAAAUGCGUAGAUAUGCGGAGGAACACCGAUGGCGAAGGCAGCCUCCUGGGAUAACACUGACGCUCAUGCACGAAAGCGUGGGGAGCAAACAGG